ACGCUCGACACCUACGGAGGCAGCAGUGGGGAAUAUUGCACAAUGGGGGAAACCCUGAUGCAGCGACGCCGCGUGAGUGAAGAAGUAUUUCGGUAUGUAAAGCUCUAUCAGCAGGGAAGAAAAUGACGGUACCUGAGUAAGAAGCCCCGGCUAACUACGUGCUAGCAGCCGCGGUAAUCUGAGCGGGCUGGCAAGGC
rnacentral:rRNA from 1 species